rnacentral:rRNA from 1 species
CACCGUAAGUUCGCGAUAAGGUGUGCCGCAGUAAUGCGGUCUCAGCAAAGAGUCCCUCCCGACUGUUUACCAAAAACACAGCACUUUGCCAACUCGUAAGAGGAAGUAUAAGGUGUGACGCCUGCCCGGUGCUCGAAGGUUAAGAGGAUGCGUCAGUCGCAAGAUGAAGCGUUGAAUUGAAGCCCGAGUAAACGGCGGCCGUAACUAUAACGGUCCUAAGGUAGCGAAAUUCCUUGUCGGUUAAAUACCGACCUGCAUGAAUGGCGUAACGAGAUGGGAGCUGUCUCAACCAGAGAUUCAGUGAAAUUGUAGUGGAGGUGAAAAUUCCUCCUACCCGCGGCAAGACGGAGAGACCCCGUGGACCUUUACUACAACUUAGCACUGCUAACGGGAAU